AAUAAAUUUAAGUGAAAAAAAAAUUAUUUAGUGACCUACCUCAUCGAAGAUAUACUUCAUCAUGAUAUUUACAACCAAAUUGAGCUUGUCCCAAUCUUUUCAACUGCUUUCUUAAAGUCCUUCGCAGUCUUUUUUUUGCAUCAUUCGUAAACUUCUCACUCAUCUCCUUGCUUUCUUGUGUUGAUUUAAUGAUCAUUUUGAAAACAAAUCAGCACAUGUCUCAUUGAUGGAAGCUUGCAAACUUUACUUAAAUAAUUUGUCAUAUCAUUAAAGUGGACUUUAUACCUAGGUGGCCCUAACGAAUGAGGAGCCAUUUUUAAAAAAAAUCAUAUUUGCAUUCUCAAGUCUAGCUUCUUUUUAUCAUGUCUAUACUCCCAUUUAAAAUUUCUUGUCUUCUUACUAUCAUCAUUAUUCUUAUCAGAAAAAUAAUUAACUUUUAGUUUAUGACCAUCAUCUUCUAGUUUAGGAUAAUACAAUUACUUCACUUUCUCAAGUUUGUGAGCAUGGUGUACAUCAAGUUUGUGUUAAAAAUGUAAGACAUGGCAUACGUCAAGUUUGUGAGCAACAAUCAAGCUGACGUUAAAGCUUAGUAUACCGCUAGUGACCAACAAUCAAGUUGACGUUAAAGUUUUGGAAAACAUAGUUGUUACUUUAAGUGAUACAAAAUUUUGAUGGAGUAUUGCUACUGAUAACCUGCUAAACUCUUUGUAAAACAAAUUUUAAUAAAAAUUACAUAAAUACUUGCACAAUACAAACUGAACAUUAACGAUAAUAUACUCAAAAUGAACUUCAAUUAAGAGUCCUAACAUUUUUUGAAUUUCUUUUACAAAUUUAUUGUAAGAUUUGCUUAAAAUAAUUAAUCGUCACCAUCUCAAUUCUUCACAUGUCAUCAUUUAUUUUUAAAAAAAUCCAAAAAGUAAACAUGUUAUUUAUGCAACCAAUGCAUGUACUAGUACCUAAAGUACCUAAUAAACAAGUACUGUGAUGAAUUUGAAUCAACUGACUUUUUGUAACUUUUUGUAUAUGAAUGCAAAGAACUUCAACUUAUUAUGACUUGUACGACUGUUUAAAGGAAAAAAACAAUUAUAAAUUGUGUUUCAUUAACUCAUUGUCCAGACUAAGCCUCCAUUAUGUGAAUAGGGGUGUUAA
rnacentral:lncRNA from 1 species